AUUGAACGCUGGCGGCAGGCCUAACACAUGCAAGUCGAGCGGAUGAAGGGAGCUUGCUCCUGGAUUCAGCGGCGGACGGGUGAGUAAUGCCUAGGAAUCUGCCUGGUAGUGGGGGAUAACGUCCUGAAACGGGCGCUAAUACCGCCUACGUCCUGAGGGAGAAAGUGGGGGAUCUUCGGACCUCACGCUAUCAGAUGAGCCUAGGUCGGAUUAGCUAGUUGGUGGGGUAAAGGCCUACCUAGGCGACGAUCCGUAACUGGUCUGAGAGGAUGAUCAGUCACACUGGAACUGAGACACGGUCCAGACUCCUACGGGAGGCAGCAGUGGGGAAUAUUGGACAAUGGGCGAAAGCCUGAUCCAGCCAUGCCGCGUGUGUGAAGAAGGUCUUCGGAUUGUAAAGCACUUUAAGUUGGGAGGAAGGGCAGUAAGUUAAUACCUUGCUGUUUUGACGUUACCAACAGAAUAAGCACCGGCUAACUUCGUG
rnacentral:rRNA from 1 species